rnacentral:lncRNA from 1 species
CGAAGAUGCUGUUUCUGUUUACCAUGAGCAAACAGCAUUUCUUGGGUCUUAAGCUAAACAAUCACAAGUUAUCAAAGUAAAGAAAAUCUAAAGACAGUUCUUACUUUUCAUGUGUAGAAGUGUAGUUUGGGUAUCCAGUCAUGCCACAGUGUGACUGUGGUCAACACAGCCCUUGUCACAGGUGCGUAUGGUCCUAAAUAGCUGGCCUCUGUCUUUCCAACAUCUUCACUUCAUUGGGAAUUCAGUGCAAGUGUUUGUUUUGUGAGUUAGUGCAUUCAGCUUUUUUUGCAUGUUAUUUUGAAAAAGAAGCUGUCAGGAAGCAGAAGAUACAUAAGAACACAAGGCCCUGGAUCCUCAGAGCACCUCUGGUCUAGAGAAUUCAGUGUUUUGGAAGUAGUGUUUUCCUGCAUUGGGCUGGUCAUUGUUGUACCAUUCCCUGGAUAAUCUUUUUCCAUCAGAAUAAUGCUGUGUGCUCCCUCUUUGCCUGCUACUGAACAAUGACGUCUCUUGUUGUGAACCCCACUGGCAGAGCACGGACCAUGGAAGCAUCUUUUGGCAGCACCAGAGAACUGAGCAUCUCAAAGGUCAGGCAUUACAAGUAGAUGUCUCUCAUAGGAAACCUAGUCCAGGUAGAAUAUGAGACAAUCUUGGAGGGUUUUGAUUUUUGCUUGUUAAACAGGUCUCCGAGGAAAUUAUGACCUCAGAGAACAAAAAAGGAUCUAUAGCUUUCAUGAAGAAGGACCCAAGUAGGUGGUAGCCAUUUUGCCUGGGUGAGGUUCACAGUUGGCUCAGGAGACAUCUUCUGAUCAUUAACCACUAAGACCCUGUUAGAAAAAUUUAGUGCAAGAUACAGGGAGUGCAUGGGGCUGUUGACCAGACCUGUGUGAAACACCUAUUCAGGUUAAGUAGAUAUAGCAACCCCUGCAAGAGGGGACUGGGCAGGAGAACCUCAGGCCCUGGGAUAACUUGUUGUCAGCUCCUCAAGGAUCCAUGCUUCUUUUUCUAUCUAUCUGGCAGCAUGAGUUCUUCUGUUUCUUCUGCGUGGGUUGACCAUGGGCAUCAGGCAUCAGAGAUACAACUCUGGAUCUUGUCCAUCCAUUGCUGGGCACUCUGUCCAUCCUGGGCGCAGAAGUUAUACACACGUUUGCUGGUCUUGAGCUACAAAACCAAAUGACAGUGAACCAGAGAUGAAGGGCAGGGCUGUUUUAUGGAUUUGGGAGUCUACUGCUAAGAUUUCAGCAUGUCCUGUGGCUGAGUUAAUCAGAGUUAUGACAGGAAGGUACCGGGCACACCAUCGCAAUGCUCCAUCAAUGCUAGUAUGUUGUGUUCUUUCCUUCAUAUCAAGUCAACUCAAGCUUGCUCUACUUACCUGGUGUACACAGUCUAAGAACUGUAAGAAGACUGGAGCAAAACCACUCCCCUGACAGUUGAGGGUCAAGCUGCUCCUCUGACUGAAUUUGUGACCAAAAGAGAGCCACUCUUUUUCAACCAACAUCUGGAAGCCUUCAAGUGUCCUAUAAAAGGGAUCACUGAGUAACUGAACCAGGGAUGUCACCUAGGGCAUAAGCAGGAUGGAUUGUCAUUAAUUUUAGUUCUGAAAAAGGCCUAUUACUAAGAUAAAAGCACUUCCUUCUGAUGAUAGCUAAUUCACAAAUUUACCUGGACAGCAAAUUUGUUCACUAACCAUUCCAGGAUGGC